CAUCUGUAAUGAGAUCUGGUACCC
rnacentral:piRNA from 1 species